rnacentral:rRNA from 1 species
AUGGCGGCAGAUGCGGGAUCAUCUUCUGCGGGCUGGAAGGAGAACAAUCUUGAGGAGAUGUUGCAACACCUUGAUCUUCAGGACGACGAGUUGGAUGACGUGGUUGUGGGGCAGGAGGAUCUGAAGAAGUACGAAGCAGAUGCAAGAUGGCUAGCGAUCGGGAAGGUAAACACAACUAGGGUUUUCAGCUCAUCGUCGAUGUUUGAGACCUUGAAAUCAGUCUGGGGGUUAGCGCAUGUACCCAAGUACAGGGAGGCUGGGGAAAAUCUUUAUAUCUUUCAGAUGUUCUGUUUGGGGGACUGGAAGAAGGUUGUUCAUGGUGGACCUUGGCUGUUUCACGGGAUGGGCAUGCUCAUCGAAGAUUACGAUGGAAAUCAGGAACCAACAUCCUAUGUUUUUGAUGGUUUAUAUGUUUGGGCUCAGAUACACAAUAUACCAGAGUUAUACAGGAAACCUGAGGUAGUAGAUCAACUAGCACGACGCAUUGGACGGGUCAAGGAAACUCAGCUCUCCCCUAGGCUCUUCUACGAGGGGGAUUAUGUCAGAUUUGGGAGGCUAAAGACAAGCACUAGGGUAGCUGGAUGUUGGCAAAGAGAAGGGAGACAACACCAGAUCAGCAAGGAGGUCGUUCCUCGCGCGGUGGCCGCUCGGGGGGUAGAGGCAGAGGCAGGACUGGCAGGGGAGCCCCCCAGGCUCGGCCAGUAUCACCGCGCAAAAGAUCAUCACAAGAGGCAGGGCUGGAUGAUGCAGUAG